CUGGAAAUCGCACGAGUCUUCUCGCGCCCACACUUAUCGGCUGUUGUUGACGACAGAUUGCCCGAUCUGCGGGUCUGUAGCUCAGUCGGUUAGAGCACCGUCUUGAUAAGGCGGGGGUCGUUGGUUCGAAUCCAACCAGACCCACCAUCGUGUCGGGGGUGUAGCUCAGCUGGGAGAGCACCUGCUUUGCAAGCAGGGGGUCAUCGGUUCGAUCCCGUUCACCUCCACCAUAUUUAUGCGUACCACACAGUUUGCAGUGGCUAACUGUGUAGUGCGACAUAUGUCGGCUGUCGUUCUUUAAUAAUUUAUAGAGUCGAAUCAGAAUGCGACGCUGCGACUAUGCAGUGUCGCAAGUCUUGAUUGCGUCAUCAUCAACCUCUGUAUAGAGGUUCGGCAAAACGCAAAUGUGAUCCAAGCGGAUCACGAGUACUUGACUGACGUUUGACGUCAAAGUUAUAGGGUCAAGUGACUAAGUGCAUGUG
rnacentral:tRNA from 1 species